UACUUGUCAAGAUUUAGUACAAAACAAGUAAUUCCGUCCGUAGGGGGUGCUUUUUUUUUCUUCCAAUUUUGGGUGUCACGGCUCUAUCAAUGUUGCAUACUUUUGGGUGAACAUGAGUAUUUCAAUAACAGAUCGACAACUGGCGUGCGCAUGCCCCUACUAGCUAGAAAUAUGGAACAUAGUACAAUACCCCGCUUUUUAUAGGGCAUCGUGUUUUUUUUCCGAAUCGGACCUCUCCCCACUUUCCAUUUCAAUCAAAACGGAAAUAACAAGGUCUCGAGCAAUUACACAUCAAGAGCAGGAAUGAAAGAAAAGCAGGAAGAGACGGAUUCAGGCACCAACAGGAAAUCCACUGC
rnacentral:lncRNA from 1 species